GACAGAGGAUGCAAGCGUUAUCCGGAAUGAUUGGGCGUAAAGCGUCUGUAGGUGGCUUUUUAAGUCCGCCGUCAAAUCCCAGGGCUCAACUCCGGAUCUGCGGUGGGUACGGGCAGACUAGAGUGAUGUAGGGGAGUCUGGAAUUCCUGGUGUAGCGGUGAAAUGCGCAGAUAUCAGGAGGAACACCGGUGGCGAAGGCGGGUCUCUGGGCAAUAACUGACGCUGAGGAGCGAAAGCGUGGGGAGCGAACAGG
rnacentral:rRNA from 1 species